rnacentral:rRNA from 1 species
UACAGAGGGUGCGAGCGUUAAUCGGAAUUACUGGGCGUAAAGCGUGCGUAGACGGUUAUUUAAGUCGGGUGUGAAAGCCCCGGGCUCAACCUGGGAAUUGCAUUCGAGACUGAAUAGCUAGGGUACGGUAGAGGGAAGCGGAAUUUCCGGUGUAGCGGUGAAAUGCGUAGAUAUCGGAAGGAACAUCAGUGGCGAAAGCGGCGCACUGGACCAUAACUGACGCUGAUGCGCGAAAGCUAGGGGAGCAAACAGG